CGAACGGGGAGAUUCAUCGUCAGCGGCGCUGGCUUCGCGUCGGUCGGCGAUGUCCCGCGGAGUCCUUGCGGCUCGCGCGCGGGCACGCUACCGUGCGCCGAUGUCCGGCGCUCGUCGUCGUGCACUUCUCCCCAAGUAGAACGUCGCGACCCGCUGGGUGUCGGUCUACGGCCCGGGUGCGGUGUCUGUCGCGUCGCCGGUAAAACGGCACGCGACAAACCCUCGGUCGCCCGGCCGGCUGCUCGGCGGUACGCGCAAGGUAUCAGGCCGCACUAUUCACGGUGCGUCGAGACCGUCGCAAGCGCGCGCCACGGUACUCGGAGGUUACGGACUUCGCGCCGUCCCCGGUCCUGGCCCGCUGUUGGUUACAGUACGGUACACCUUCGACAGGCCUGCGAACGUCUCCCGCGGUCUUCGCGGGAGACCGAUACCGGUCGGCGACGCUACUGCUUUGGGUACUCUUAGGACCCGUCUUGAAACACGGACCAAGGAGUCUAACAUGUACGCGAGUCAUUGGGACUUGUCGCGAGACCUAAAGGCGUAAUGAAAGUGAAGGUCGGCCCUGGCCGUCGACCUAGGGAGGAUGGGCCGCGUCGCGAUGCGGCCUCGCACUCCCGGGGCGUCUCGUUCUCAUCGCGAGAAGAGGCGCACCCAGAGCGUACACGUUGGGACCCGAAAGAUGGUGAACUAUGCCUGGUCAGGACGAAGUCAGGGGAAACCCUGAUGGAGGUCCGUAGCGAUUCUGACGUGC
rnacentral:rRNA from 1 species